rnacentral:rRNA from 1 species
GGGACACGUGGUAUCCUGUCUGAAUAUGGGGGGACCAUCCUCCAAGGCUAAAUACUCCUGACUGACCGAUAGUGAACCAGUACCGUGAGGGAAAGGCGAAAAGAACCCCGGCGAGGGGAGUGAAAAAGAACCUGAAACCGUGUACGUACAAGCAGUGGGAGCACGCUUAGGCGUGUGACUGCGUACCUUUUGUAUAAUGGGUCAGCGACUUAUAUUCUGUAGCAAGGUUAACCGAAUAGGGGAGCCGAAGGGAAACCGAGUCUUAACUGGGCGUUAAGUUGCAGGGUAUAGACCCGAAACCCGGUGAUCUAGCCAUGGGCAGGUUGAAGGUUGGGUAACACUAACUGGAGGACCGAACCGACUAAUGUUGAAAAAUUAGCGGAUGACUUGUGGCUGGGGGUGAAAGGCCAAUCAAACCGGGAGAUAGCUGGUUCUCCCCGAAAGCUAUUUAGGUAGCGCCUCGUGAAUUCAUCUCCGGGGGUAGAGCACUGUUUCGGCAAGGGGGUCAUCCCGACUUACCAACCCGAUGCAAACUGCGAAUACCGGAGAAUGUUAUCACGGGAGACACACGGCGGGUGCUAACGUCCGUCGUGAAGAGGGAAACAACCCAGACCGCCAGCUAAGGUCCCAAAGUCAUGGUUAAGUGGGAAACGAUGUGGGAAGGCCCAGACAGCCAGGAUGUUGGCUUAGAAGCAGCCAUCAUUUAAAGAAAGCGUAAUAGCUCACUGGUCGAGUCGGCCUGCGCGGAAGAUGUAACGGGGCUAAACCAUGCACCGAAGCUGC